UACCCCCAGUGUUCUGCGCCGUUUCUCCGCCUCCUUCCCACACUCUUGGACCCGCAGGACUGAGCCGGGCCACUGGCUGCCUGGUUCCUGAUAGGGAAGAGCGUCGGGGAACUCUGCAGCAGCCCCCGGGCGCUCACUUGCUCCAAGGGGCGUCUGCGGGUCCUUCAACCCGUUGGCCUGGGUCUUUCUACAGGAGCUCCGGGACUUGGGGACGCCCGGGACAGGGACCAUAGGCAGGGGCAUCUUUGACCCAGAGAAUAUAUCAGAGCCUUCGUUCCAACCUGCUUCAGGGUCAAGUCGAACUCUCCUGUUGCUUUUCCUCACUGGAGAGAACUACCAUUCAUUGAGCUCCUGCUGUGUGCCACAUAUUUUUAUGUUUUAUUUAAUGCAGCCAUCCUAGGAGCCCCUCAACUUUGGCCAGAAUGGAGCAGCCGAAGGGGGUUGAUUGGACGGUCAUCAUCCUGACAUGCCAGUACAAGGACAGCGUCGAGGUCUUCCAGAGAGAGCUGGAGAUACGGCAGAAGCGAGAGCAGAUCCCCACCAGGACGCUGCUGUUGGCCGUGGAAGACCCUGAGGUUCAUGUGGGCAGUGGAGGAGCCACCCUCAACGCCCUGCUGGUGGUUGCUGAGCACCUGAGUGCCCGUGCGGGCUUCACUGUGGUCACAUCAGAUGUUCUGCACUCGGCCUGGAUCCUCAUCCUGCACAUGGGCCGAGACUUCCCCUUCGAUGACUGUGGCCGGGCCUUCACCUGCCUCCCUGUGGAGAACCCCCAGGCCCCUGUGGAGGCCGUGGUCUGCAACUUGGACUGCUUGCUGGACAUCAUGAGCCAUCGGCUGGGCCCAGGCUCCCCGCCAGGCGUGUGGGUUUGCAGCACCGACAUGCUGCUGUCUGUUCCUCCAAACCCAGGGAUCAGCUGGGACGGCUUCCGGGGAGCCAGAGUGAUCGCCCUUCCGGGGAGCACGGCCUAUGCCCGGAACCAUGGUGUUUACCUCACGGACUCCCAGGGCUUCGUUUUGGACAUUUAUUACCAAGGCACCGAGGCAGAGAUACAACGAUGUGCCAGGCCUGAUGGGCGGGUGCCACUGGUUUCUGGGCUUGUCUUCUUCUCUGUGGAAACUGCUGAGCACCUCCUGGCCACCCAUGUGAGCCCGCCUCUGGACGCCUGCACCUACAUGGGCUUGGACUCCGGAGCCCGGCCUGUCCAGCUGUCUCUAUUUUUUGACAUCCUGCUCUGCAUGGCCCGGAACGUGAGAAGGGAGGACUUCCUGGUGGGGCAGCCCCCAGAGAUGGGGCAAGGUGACGCGGACAUUGCAGGUUAUCGGCAUGGAGCCCGGGCAGAGCUGUGGAGGGAGCUUCGCGAUCAGCCCCUCACAGUGGCAUAUGUCCCUGACGGCAGCUACAACUACAUGACCAACUCAGCCAGUGAGUUCCUGCACUGUCUCACGUUCCCGGGGGCUCCUGGGGCCCAGGUCGUGCACUCCCAGGUGGAGGAGCGGCAGCUACUGGGGGCCGGGAGCUCUGUGGUCAGCUGCCUGCUGGAGGGCCCCGUCCAGCUGGGUCCUGGGAGUGUCCUGCAGCACUGCCACCUGCGGGGCCCCAUUCACAUCGGCACUGGCUGCUUCGUGAGUGGCCUGGACGUGGCCCAGUCCGAGGCACUGCACGGCUUGGAGCUGCACGACCUCGUCCUGCAGGGACACCAUGUGCAGCUGCACGGCGCCCGCAGCCGGGCCUUCACCCUCGUUGGCCGUCUCGACAGCUGGGAAAGACAGGGGACAGGAACGUAUCUCAACAUGUCUUGGAGUCAGUUCUUCCAGAAGACAGGCAUUCGGGACUGGGACCUGUGGGACCCAGACAUGCCCCGCAUUGAGCGCUGCCUUCUCAAUGCCCGUCUCUUUCCCGUGCUCCACCCCUCGAGGGCCCUGGGGCCCCAGGACAUGCUGUGGAUGCUGGACCCCCAGGAGGCUGGGAGCAAGGCCCUGCGGGCUUGGCGAGCCUCCUGGCGUCUGUCAUGGGAGCAGCUGCAGCCGUGCCUGGAUCGGGCUGCCACACUGGCCUCCCGCCGGCACCUGUUCUUCCGCCAGGCCCUGCAUAAGGCGCGGCACGUGCUGGAGGCCCGACAGGACCUCAGCCUGCGCCCGCUGAUCCAGGCUGCUGUGCGCGAGGGCUGUCCUGGGCCCCUGAUGGCCACCCUGGACCAGGUGGCAGCUGGUGUGGGAGAUCCUGGCGUGGCAGCCCGGGCACUGGCCUGUGUGGCGGAUGUCCUGGGCUGCAUGGCAGAGGGCCAAGGAGGCUUACGGAGUGGGCCAGCUGCCAACCCUGAGUGGGUGCGGCCCUUCUCGUACCUGGAGUGUGGAGACCUGGCGCGGGGCGUGGCGGCGCUUGCCGAGGAGCGGGACAAGUGGCUGAGCAGACCAGCCUUACUAGUACGAGCUGCCCGCCACUACGAGGGGGCUGGGCAGAUCCUGAUCCGCCAGGCUGUGAUGUCAGCCCAGCACUUUGUCUCCUCGGUGCCGGUAGAGCUGCCAGCACCUGGGCAGUGGGUGGUGGCUGAGUGCCCGGCUCGAGUGGACUUCUCUGGGGGCUGGAGUGACACGCCACCCCUUGCCUAUGAGCUUGGUGGGGCAGUGCUGGGCCUGGCUGUGCGAGUGAAUGGCCGCCGGCCCAUUGGGGCCAGGGCUCGCUGCAUCCCAGAGCCCGAGCUGUGGCUGGCAUUGGGACCUCGGCAGGACGAGAUGGCCACGAAGAUAGUAUGCGGGAGCCUGGAUGACCUGCAGGAUUACUGCCAGCCCCAUGCCCCAGAUGAGCCCCAGGCCAGGCUGAGAUGGGUGGGGUGUCUGUUUCCACCCCUGGAGACCAAAUUCCUUGCCGGAUGCUGCUCACUCCACAGGGGCGCUGUUGAAGGCGGCCUUCAUCUGUGCGGGGAUCGUGAGUGUCCACUCCAAGCUCUCGCUGAGCACCAGCAGCAUCCUGGCGGGGGCUGCCCUGGCCGCCUUGCAGCGGGCCGCAGGCCGGGCGGUGGGCACGGAGGCCCUGAUCCACGCAGUGCUGCAUCUGGAGCAGGUGCUUACCACAGGAGGUGGCUGGCAGGACCAAGUGGGUGGCCUAAUGCCUGGCAUCAAGGUGGGGCGCUCCCGGCCUCAGCUGCCGCUGAAGGUGGAAGUGGAAGAGAUCACUGUGCCUGCGGGCUUUGUCCAGAAGCUCAAUGACCACCUGCUCCUGGUGUACACUGGCAAGACCCGUCUGGCCCGGAAUCUGCUGCAGGACGUGCUGAGGAGCUGGUAUGCCCGGCUGCCUGCCGUUGUGCAGAAUGCCCACAACCUGGUGCGGCACACCGAGGAGUGUGCUGAAGCCUUCCGCCAAGGGAGCCUGCCUCUGCUGGGCCAGUGCCUGACAUCAUACUGGGAGCAGAAGAAGCUCAUGGCUCCAGGCUGUGAGCCCUUGGCUGUGCGGCGUAUGAUGGAUGUCCUGGCCCCCCACGUGCAUGGCCAGAGCCUGGCAGGGGCAGGUGGCGGGGGCUUUCUCUACCUAUUGACCAAGGAGCCGCGGCAAAAGGAGGCUCUGGAGGCUGUGCUGGCCAAGACUGAGGGCCUCGGAAACUACAGCAUCCACCUGGUAGAAGUGGACACUCAGGGCCUGAGCCUGCAGCUGCUGGGGGACUGAGACCUCAGCCUGAUGCCCCUUCUCAUGAGGCUUGUCCCUCUGCAAGGAGAAAGCCUGGAGCUAUAGCAGGCCCUCCCUUCCUUCCCCCACGGGAGCGCUCAGUCUUCUACUCUUCACCCACUUCUUUGUGAAUCUGCUUCCAAAGGAAGCCAACCUGAGCUCAGGCCCAGCCCUUUCUAAAAGUUGGUGAGGCACAGACGGUGCUUGGGAACAGGACUAUGACCUCCUGGUUGACAGGGGCCUAGGCUUGGUGUCUGCUCCAUCUGGACACAGGAAGGUCCUAAGUUCAGCGUCCACUGUGACCUUUACAAAUCUGAUGGCCCAGCUUGGGCCUUGGCCUUCUCUCUCUCCAUGAGGGCCUGGAAGAAGGGGAUGACAACCAGCCUUGGCAGAUGGCUGGGUUCCCUUGGUAAGGCCGACCCUGAAGAGGCCCUUUGAGGCAUUUCCUGUGGCCUUCCUUAGAGGUCAGGCUUUUGCCUGAGUAGAGACUUCCUGUUCCACACUCACUCCCAAGCUGACUUAAUGGGGGAGUGGGAACAGGGAUGAGGCUCCACACUCGUGUCUGUGGCAGAGAGCCAGUGCAGUCCUGCAGCAAGUCACUGCUAAUCGUGGCCUUAACCAGCAACUCUGCCAUGUGCCUGUGGGCCGUGAGUUCUCAGGACUGCAAUCUUCUUGGAAUAAAUUCACUCUGCUCUUCAA